CUUCUCUUCUUCUUCCCCGUGACAACACACACACACACACACACCCACAACUACACCUACUCGAGGAAAUCAUCACCAUCAUCGCCAUUCAACUGCAUCUCUCUCUCUCUCUCUCUUUCCCCUGCUCGCGGCGCCGGGAGGACACGAACACCUCCGGCGAGUUUUGGUUGUUUUCCGAUUGGGUUUUGGAGUGUUUUUGGCACGGGUGAGUGCACACCCAAUUUUCCGGCGAGCACCGCCCCUUUCGAGGCAAUUUCCGGCCAAACCACGGCGAGUUGGCCGGCGUGCGAGUUCCGGCGGACACCGGUGGCUUCCAGGCUGUUUUCCGGCCAACUCCGGCCACAAUGACAGGAACCAAGGGUAUAUUU